rnacentral:miRNA from 1 species
UCCCCUGCUUUGACCCCAGAGCCUGGACACAGCACACACCUGUAACCCCAGCACUAGGGAGGCUGAGGCAGGAGGAU